UACAGGGGGGGCAAGCGUUGUUCGGAAUUACUGGGCGUAAAGGGCUCGUAGGCGGCCAACUAAGUCACACGUGAAAUCCCCAGGCUUAACCUGGGAACUGCGUGUGAUACUGGAUGGCUUGAAUUCGGGAGAGGGAUGCAGAAUUCCAGGUGUAGCGGUGAAAUGCGUAGAUAUCUGGAGGAAUACCGGUGGCGAAGGCGGCAUCCUGGACCGAGAUUGACACUGAUGAGCGAAAGCUAGGGGGGAGCAAACGGG
rnacentral:rRNA from 1 species